rnacentral:rRNA from 1 species
UACGUAGGUGGCAAGCGUUGUCCGGAAUUAUUGGGCGUAAAGCGCGCGCAGGCGGUCCUUUAAGUCUGAUGUGAAAGCCCACGGCUCAACCGUGGAGGGUCAUUGGAAACUGGGGGACUUGAGUGCAGGAGAGAAGAGUGGAAUUCCACGUGUAGCGGUGAAAUGCGUAGAGAUGUGGAGGAACACCAGUGGCGAAGGCAGCCCCCUGGGCUGAGAUUGACGCUCAGGCACGAAAGCGUGGGGAGCAAACAGG